CUUUUGUUUCCCGUUUCAGUGACAAUAUUAAACGUGGUUUGAAACGCUUCGACAUUAAUGUUGUUUUUAAAAUACCGAAAAAACUCGAUUGCAUUAUUAAAAGAGGUAAAGACGUCUUAACUAAUUUGCAAAAAACAAAUGUAGUGUACAGAAUAGAUUGUAAGGAAUGCAGUUGUUGUUAUGUAGGGCAAACUAAGCGCCACUUAAAGACACGAGUUAAUGAACAUAUUUGUGAUAUCAAGAAGGAUUUUAGCUGCCAGUCGGUGGUUAGCAAUCAUAGACUGUGUCAUAACCAUAAUUUUGAUUGGUGUAAUACUAAAGUUUUACAUCAGGAAAGUAAUCGCGGAAAUGUGUUUUAUCAAAUGUAAUGACAAUUCUAUUAAUGUUCAAAAAGCACGGAUAAUCUUCCUUGUAUAUAUGACUCUAUUUUUAAAUGUGUUUGAUGACUGUUUUCGAGAUUUGACUUUGUUUUGCUUGUUGACUGGCUUCUCUCUCUCAUUUGUGUUUCAUCUGCUGUGGUGUGUGACACGUCCUCUUGUUAAUCCGAGUGUCUUUUAAAGUUGUUUUCUGCCAAAAGCGACUUUUAUGUAAAACUAAAGUUUGGGGUUUUUUCACGCUUGAGAAGGACCGAAAUAGUUGGGUCGAAACGUUGCGUGAUUUGUCAUCACUGUAUAACCAGUUUGUGGUCGAAUAAAUAAAUUUCUAUAUA